rnacentral:rRNA from 1 species
GUGUCAGCCGCCGCGGUAAUACGUAGGGGGCUAGCGUUAUCCGGAAUUACUGGGCGUAAAGGGUGCGUAGGUGGUUUUUUAAGUCAGAAGUGAAAGGCUACGGCUCAACCGUAGUAAGCUUUUGAAACUAGAGAACUUGAGUGCAGGAGAGGAGAGUAGAAUUCCUAGUGUAGCGGUGAAAUGCGUAGAUAUUAGGAGGAAUACCAGUAGCGAAGGCGGCUCUCUGGACUGUAACUGACACUGAGGCACGAAAGCGUGGGGAGCAAACAGGAUUAGAUACCCUGGUAGUCCACGCCGUAAACGAUGAGUACUAGGUGUCGGGGGUUACCCCCCUCGGUGCCGCAGCUAACGCAUUAAGUACUCCGCCUGGGAAGUACGCUCGCAAGAGUGAAACUCAAAUAAAUUGACGG